CCUACGGGCGGCAGCAGUGAGGAAUAUUGGUCAAUGGCCGGAAGGCUGAACCAGCCAUGCCGCGUGAAGGUCAGUGCCCUAUGGGCGUUAAACUUCUUUUGUGCGGGAGCAAUAAUGGUCACGUGUGGCCAGACGAGAGUACCGUACAAAUAAGCAUCGGCUAACUCCGUGCCAGCAGCCGCGGUAAUCCGGGGGAUGCAAGCGUUACCCGGAUUUAUUGGGUUUAAAGGGUGCGUAGGCUGUGAGGUAAGUCAGCGGGGAAAUGCCCCCGCUCAACGGGGUGAAGUGCCAUUGAUACUGCCUUGCUGGAAUGCGGAUGCCGUGGGAGGAAUGUGUGGUGUAGCGGUGAAAUGCAUAGAUAUCACACAGAACACCGAUUGCGAAGGCAUCUCACGAAUCCGCGAUUGACGCUGAUGCACGAAAGCGUGGGUAUCAAACAGGAUUAGAUACCCGAGUAGUC
rnacentral:rRNA from 1 species